rnacentral:rRNA from 1 species
AGGGUUUGAUCCUGGCUCAGAUUGAACGCUGGCGGCGUGCCUAACACAUGCAAGUCGAGCGGUAACAGGUGUAGCAAUACAUGCUGACGAGCGGCGGACGGGUGAGUAACGCUUGGGAAUCUGCCUGUUAGUGGGGGACAACCCGGGGAAACUCGGGCUAAUACCGCAUACGCACUACGGUGGAAAGCCGGGGACCGCAAGGCCUGGCGCUAACAGAUGAGCCCAAGUCGGAUUAGCUAGUUGGUAGGGUAAUGGCCUACCAAGGCGACGAUCCGUAACUGGUCUGAGAGGACGACCAGUCACACCGGAACUGAGACACGGUCCGGACUCCUACGGGAGGCAGCAGUGGGGAAUAUUGGACAAUGGGCGAAAGCCUGAUCCAGCGACGCCGCGUGGGUGAAGAAGGCCUGCGGGUUGUAAAGCCCUUUCGGUGGGGAAGAAAAGCCUCGAGCGAAUACCUCGGGGUCUUGACGUAACCCAUAGAAGAAGCACCGGCUAACUCUGUGCCAGCAGCCGCGGUAAUACAGAGGGUGCGAGCGUUAAUCGGAAUUACUGGGCGUAAAGCGCGCGUAGGCGGCUUUGCAAGUCGGGUGUGAAAUCCCCAGGCUUAACCUGGGAACUGCAUUCGAGACUGCAUUGCUAGAGUAUGGGAGAGGGAAGUGGAAUUUCCGGUGUAGCGGUGAAAUGCGUAGAUAUCGGAAGGAACAUCAGUGGCGAAAGCGACUUCCUGGACCAAUACUGACGCUCAUGUGCGAAAGCGUGGGGAGCAAACAGGAUUAGAUACCCUGGUAGUCCACGCCAUAAAC